rnacentral:lncRNA from 1 species
UUUGUGUUUUGUCUUUGAAAAGAACUGACUGGGAGAACCCAGCAAGGCUGGUCUGGUGUUCAGAUUCUUCCUGGCCUCUGUGCAGCCUCCUUCCUUCUGGGUAAAGGAGCAAGACCCUCUGUGGAAUGAGGUCUUAUGAACUACACUCAAGCAAGAAGUAUGUCUUAUCUGAUGGCUUCACAGUAAUCUGGUUUCCCCUAAGAAGCUAAGACUAUCUGGGCUAUUUGAGAUCCUGCAAGAUUUAUCAAGACUGUACUAGCCAUAUGAAAGCAUGUUAACACAGGGAGGGAGAGAGGAAAAGCCCUCCACAUGUUAUGACUGGCAUACAUGCUUCCAAAGCAUCGUUACUAACCGAAGGCCCAGUUCCUGAGGCGAUCACCCCAGACACACUGAAUGCAAUUUGUUGGUCACUGAGAGAACAGCACAAGAAAAACCCACCCCCAUGACUUGAUUACCUCCCACAACACGUGGGAAUCAUGGGAGCUACAAUUCAAGAAGAGAUUUGGGUGGAGACACAGCCAAACCACGUCACCAGACUGCCUCUUCAGGGAGUGAAUCACAAAUGUAUUCCUGACCACCCUGUUUUCUCCCCUCUUGAAUCAGAGAUGGGGGUCGCCUAUAUUUCCAAGGCUGGUCUCCAACGCCUGGGCUCAAAAGAUCCUCUGCCUUGGCCUCUCAAAGUGCUGGGAUUACAGAAGACAAACUGCCACAGAGUGAUGAGCACCCUGGAGAACUGGAAUUGGGCCACACAGGCCAGCACCAGGU